CUUUUUCAUUUGGUCAACUUAAGUGAAUUUUUUUUUGUCAGUUUCCUUGUAGGAUAUUAUGUCAAAGUCUUAUUUAUACUAUAUAUUAUUGCUUUGGUGGUGAGUCGCAUUUGUGGGGACGGUGUUACUUUACUGAUGGAUUUAGGUAGGAGGCAUCCACUGUCCCCCAUUUCGCUAGCUUAAGUUUAAUAUGAAGAUGCACUUAAGCAUGAACGCCCGUUUUGAUCUUUUUCACUUGUACCGCGAAGAGCUUGUUUUACUGUUUUUCCGUCUGCAUCCCGAGAACUAGUUGAUCUCCCAAUGCACACUUUAGACUUUAUUCAAACCGAAGUCGGUUUUGUAAUUUAAAAAUUUUUACCCACUGUAAAGUACAAACAAUUCAUCGCUAUGUUAGUUGUGUACGCUACUAGCGCAUCACAUGAUUACAUGUUAAUCAACAAAAACGAAAAUGUUUAUUGUCAAUCUAAAAAUACAUAUGUCCGUUAAGACAAAAGUAUGAGGCUGGAUGGAAUGAGCAAUGGUAGCAAAAGGUUUCCGAAAUGGUCAUAUCAUUUUUUCAAUUUUUGCUGAUCUCAAAUACCUCAACUUGUUUUAUUCAUAUAAAUAAUUUGUUUUUGCAUAUAAUCAUAAUAAUCAAAUUCAUUACCAUCUUUAACACAACAAACUUGCAUGAUAUUUAUUCUUGUUUGCUCUUACAUUCGGCAUCCAACGAUCAUGGGUAACUUGAUACCUGUGGCUUAAGGAGCUUGUAGCAUGCCAUGAUUCUGCUGGCAGACACCAAAUUUGAGGCA